AGUGGGGAAUUUUCCGCAAUGGGCGCAAGCCUGACGGAGCAAUACCGCGUGAGGGAGGAAGGCUCUUGGGUUGUAAACCUCAAAAAUUAGGGAAGAAGAAAGUGACGGUACCUAAUGUAAGCAUCGGCUAACUCCGUGCCAGCAGCCGCGGUAAUACGGAGGAUGCAAGCGUUAUCCGGAAUCAUUGAGCGUAAAGAGUCCGUAGGCGGCUAGUCAAGUCUGCUGUCAAAGACCGAAGCUUAACUUCGGAGAGGCGGUGGAAACUGAAAAGCUAGAGUACAGAAGGGGUAGAGGGAAUUCCCAGUGUAGCGGUGAAAUGCGUAGAGAUUGGGAAGAACACCAGUGGCGAAGGCGCUCUACUGGGCUUGUACUGACGCUGAGGGACGAAAGCUAGGGUAGCGAAAGGGAUUAGAUACCCCUGUAGUCUUAGCAGUAAACGAUGGAUACUAGGUGUAGCUCGUAUCGACCCGAGCUGUGCCGAAGCUAACGCGUUAAGUAUCCCGCCUGGGGAGUACGCACGCAAGUGUGAAACUCAAAGGAAUUGACGGGGACCCGCACAAGCGGUGGAGUAUGUGGUUUAAUUCGAUGCAACGCGAAGAACCUUACCAAGGCUUGACAUCCGCUGAAUCUCCUUGAGAGAGGAGAGUGCCUUCGGGAACAGCAUGACAGGUGGUGCAUGGCUGUCGUCAGCUCGUGUCGUGAGAUGUUGGGUUAAGUCCCGCAACGAGCGCAACCCUCGUUCCUAGUUGCCAGCAUUAAGUUGGGGACUCUAGGGAGACCGCCGGGGAGAACUCGGAGGAAGGUGAGGAUGACGUCAAGUCAGCAUGCCCCUCACGCCUUGGGCUACACACGUACUACAAUGGUGAGGACAAAGAGAAGCGAAAUCGAAAGGUGAAGCGAAUCUCGGCAAACUUGGCCUCAGUUCAGAUUGGGGGCUGAAACUCGCCCCCAUGAAGGAGGAAUCGCUAGUAAUCGCAGGUCAGCAUACUGCGGUGAAUCCGUUCCCGGGUCUUGUACACACCGCCCGUCACACCAUGGAAGUUGGUCAUGCCCGAAGUCGUUACCCUAACCGCAAGGAGGGGGAUGCCGAAGGUGGGACUAGUGACUGGGGUGAAGUCGUAACAAGGUAGCCGUACCGGAAGGUGUGGCUG
rnacentral:rRNA from 1 species